AUAAGAAAAGACCUAAAACUCAAUCUAACUCAAACUACCUUAUAUCUAACCUUUGAGGAGUUGUGUGUGAUCAUAAUUUUGUGGUUUCUUUUUCACAGGUUGCUCUGACUACUGCCAAGAUAGAGUCCAUUUUUCUUUGGCUGAAGAUCGAAUAUAUAAAAUACUGAGUUAUGCAAGAGGAAAAAUGGAGAGGGUCCCCAGGUCCAAUGGGAGAAAGUCUUAACUCGCUGUUUCUAACUGUCGAUAGUGAUAUUGGAGGAUAAAUCGGCAUAGCUCCUACUGAUAGGGUUUGUCAGGCUGUUGCCUCUGAGACUGUGGUAGGGGGUUAGGCAAUUGGUGUUCUUCCCAUGUCUAGGUACCUUGGUUUUACAUUUGGGAUUCACAUAUCAGCCUUGUAUUUUUCUACUCGAUAACUAUUAGCAAUUAUGGA